rnacentral:rRNA from 1 species
UGGCGGACGGGUGAGUAACGCGUGGGCAACCUGCCUUACACAGGGGGAUAACACUUAGAAAUAGGUGCUAAACCGCAUAAGCGCACAGCUUCGCAUGAAGCGGUGUGAAAAACUCCGGUGGUGUAAGAUGGACCCGCGUCUGAUUAGCUUGUUGGCGGGGUAACGGCCCACCAAGGCGACGAUCAGUAGCCGGCCUGAGAGGGCGGACGGCCACAUUGGGACUGAGACACGGCCCAGACUCCUACGGAAGGCAGCAG